GACGAACGCUGGCGGCGCGCUUAACACAUGCAAGUCGAACGGAAAGGCCUGCUUUCCCUUGUGGAUUGCGGGUACUCGAGUGGCGAACGGGUGAGUAACACGUGAGUGAUCUGCCCCCAACUUGGGUAUAAGACUGGGAAACUGGGUCUAAUUCCCGAUAGGACUGCAGGGUGGUGCCUGUGGUGGAAAACGAUUUUCUAGUGGUUGGGGAUGAGCUCGCGGCCUAUCAGCUUGUUGGUGGGGUAAUGGCCUACCAAGGCGGCGACGGGUAGCCGGCCUGAGAGGGGGGACGGCCACAUUGGGACUGAGAUACGGCCCAGACGCCUACGGGAGGCAGCAGUUGGGAAUAUUGCACAAUGGGCGGAAGCCUGAUGCAGCGACGCCGCGUGGGAGAUGACGGCCUUCGGGUUGUAAACUCCUUUCGACCGCGAUGAAGCCACCUGGUUGGAAGGGUGGUGACGGUAGUGGUAGAAGAAGCACCGGCUAACUACGUG
rnacentral:rRNA from 1 species